UAUAUUUUAGUAUAUGAUGUACAUUAAUUUUUGGAAUUAAGGGAAUUAGUUAGAUUCUAAUAAAUAUAG
rnacentral:tRNA from 1 species